ACAUGCAAGUCGAGGGGCAGCAUAAAUUACUUGUAAUUUGAUGGCGACCGGCGAACGGGUGCGUAACGCGUAUGCAACCUACCUUUUACUAGAGAAUAGCCAAGAGAAAUUUUGAUUAAUGCUCUAUACACUUUAAGACUCACAUGAGUCUAAAAGAAAAGCUCCGGCGGUAAAAGAUGGGCAUGCGUUCUAUUAGCUUGUAGGUGAGGUAACGGCUCACCUAAGCUUCGAUAGAUAGGGGUCCUGAGAGGGAGACCCCCCACACUGGUACUGAGACACGGACCAGACUUCUACGGAAGGCAGCAGUAAGGAAUAUUGGACAAUGGAGGCAACUCUGAUCCAGCCAUGCCGCGUGAAGGAAGAAGGCCCUAUGGGUCGUAAACUUCUUUUAUACAGGAAGAAAUCUUUCCACGUGUGAAAGUUGACGGUACUGUAAGAAUAAGGAUCGGCUAACUCCGUGCCAGCAGCCGCGGUAAUACGGAGGAUCCAAGCGUUAUCCGGAAUUAUUGGGUUUAAAGGGUCCGCAGGCUGUUUGUUAAGUUAGAGGUGAAAUCCUACCGCUCAACGGUAGAACUGCCUUUAAAACUGGCAAACUUGAGUUAUUGUGAAGUAAUUAGAAUGUGUAGUGUAGCGGUGAAAUGCAUAGAUAUUACACAGAAUACCGAUUGCGAAAGCAGAUUACUAUCAAUUAACUGACGCUGAGGGACGAAAGCGUGGGUAGCGAACAGGAUUAGAUACCCUGGUAGUCCACGCCGUAAACGAUGGUCACUAGCUGUUUGAUGUACAUUGGUACAUUGAGUGGCUAAGCGAAAGUGAUAGGUGA
rnacentral:rRNA from 1 species